rnacentral:rRNA from 1 species
CCUACGGGAGGCUGCAGUGGGGAAUAUUGGGCAAUGGGCGCAAGCCUGACCCAGCAACGCCGCGUGAAGGAAGAAGGCUUUCGGGUUGUAAACUUCUUUUCUCAGGGACGAAGCAAGUGACGGUACCUGAGGACUAAGCCACGGCUAACUACGUGCCAGCAGCCGCGGUAAUACGUAGGUGGCAAGCGUUAUCCGGAUUUACUGGGUGUAAAGGGCGUGUAGGCGGGAAAGCAAGUCAGAUGUGAAAACCAUGGGCUCAACCUGUGGCCUGCAGUUGAAACUGUUUUUCUUGAGUACUGGAGAGGCAGACGGAAUUCCUAGUGUAGCGGUGAAAUGCGUAGAUAUUAGGAGGAACACCAGUGGCGAAGGCGGUCUGCUGGACAGCAACUGACGCUGAGGCGCGAAAGUGUGGGGAGCAAACAGGAUUAGAUACCCUUGUAGUC